AUGCAUGCUUUUACAGUAUGAAAAUUGGUGAUUUAUAAUAACUUAGCAAAUCGCAAAGUGAAAACAGGCGAUAAAUCAUUCAAGUUUCUGACCUAUCAGCUUUCGACGGUAUGGUAUUGGCUUACCGUGGCAGUGACGGUUAACGGGGGAUUAGGGUUCGAUUCCGGAGAGGGAGCCUGAGAAACGGCUACCACAUCUAAGGAAGGCAGCAGGCGCGCAAAUUACCCAAUUCUAACAGUUUGAGAGAGGUAGUAACAAGAAAUAACAAUACAAGGCAGUUAAAAUGCUUUGUAAUUGGAAUGAUAGAAAUUUAAACCCUUUUUAAAGUAUCAAUUGGAGGGCAAGUCUGGUGCCAGCAGCCGCGGUAAUUCCAGCUCCAAUAGCGUAUAUUAAAAUUGUUGCAGUUAAAAAGCUCGUAGUUGAAGUUCUGCUAAAAGUAACCGGUCUGCUUUGAAUAAAAGUGGUAUCUUGGUAUGUAUUUAGCAAUGAUGUCCUUUGAAGUGUUUUUUACUUUAUUGUAAUAAAGCAUAUUCAGGACUUUUACUUUGAGAAAAUUAGAGUGUUUCUAGCAGGCCAACGCUUUGAAUACUGCAGCAU
rnacentral:rRNA from 1 species